ACAAACUUUUUGAAACAAACGCGGGUACUAACGAGAAAACUUUACGGGACUUUUUCUCCUAUGGAAACUGGUACGACGAUUGUGGCCGCAAUUUUCUGACUUACACCUCAAAAUUGUCAAACUGGACAGCCGCCCGUGACCGUUGCUGUGACAUUGGUUUGACUCUGGCCUCAAUGGAAUCAGCGGGGAAGUUAAGUUGCUUUUCCAGAAUAGUCUCAA